rnacentral:rRNA from 1 species
GACGAACGCUGGCGGCGUGCCUAAUACAUGCAAGUCGAGCGGAAACAUUGGAGCUUGCUCCUUUGGUUUAGCGGCGGACGGGUGAGUAACACGUGGGCAACCUGCCCUGCAGAUCGGGAUAACUUCAGGAAACCGGUGCUAAUACCGGAUAGUUUGCGGCCCCUCAUGGUGCUGCACGGAAAGAUGCUUUCGUCUGUGAUUGACGGACGGGUCCGCGGCGCAUUGGUUAGUUGGUGAGGUAACGGCUCUCCAACGCCACGAUGCGUAGCCGACCUGAGCGGGGGAUCGGCCACACUGGGACUGAGACACGGCCCAGACUCCGACGGGAGGCAGCAGUAGGGAAUCUUCCGCAAUGGACGAAAGUCUGACGGAGCAACGCCGCGUGAGUGAAGAAGGUUUUCGGAUCGUAAAACUCUGUUGUGAGGGAAGAACAAGUACCAAGUAACUACUGGUACCUUGACGGUACCUCACCAGAAAGCCACGGCUAACUACGUG